UACCUAUAAGACUGGGAUAACUUCGGGAAACCGGAGCUAAUACCGGAUAAUAUUUCGAACCGCAUGGUUCGAUAGUGAAAGAUGGUUUUGCUAUCACUUAUAGAUGGACCCGCGCCGUAUUAGCUAGUUGGUAAGGUAACGGCUUACCAAGGCGACGAUACGUAGCCGACCUGAGAGGGUGAUCGGCCACACUGGAACUGAGACACGGUCCAGACUCCUACGGGAGGCAGCAGCC
rnacentral:rRNA from 1 species